CUACGGGAUGCUGCAGUGGGGAAUAUUGCACAAUGGAGGAAACUCUGAUGCAGCAACGCCGCGUGGAGGAUGACACUUUUCGGAGCGUAAACUCCUUUUAUAUAGGAAGAAGAUGACGGUACUAUAUGAAUAAGCGCCGGCUAACUCCGUGCCAGCAGCCGCGGGUAAUACGGAGGGCGUAAGCGUUACUCGGAAUCACUGGGCGUAAAGAGCGUGUAGGCGGAUUAAAAAGUCAGAAGUGAAAUCCUAUAGCUUAACUAUAGAACUGCUUCUGAAACUCUUAAUCUAGAAUAUGGGAGAGGUAGAUGGAAUUUCUGGUGUAGGGGUAAAAUCCGUAGAGAUCAGAAGGAAUACCGAUUGCGAAGGCGAUCUACUAGAACAUUAUUGACGCUGAGACGCGAAAGCGUGGGGAGCAAACAGGAUUAGAUACCCCGGUAGUC
rnacentral:rRNA from 1 species